UUCAUUUCCGUCGGCUUUUCCGGACACAACGUCAGCGUAGCUUGGUGGCAAGUCAGCAUCGACAGAAUACUCUGGCUUUCAGGCAAUGAAAGUCGGAGUGUUCGUUCUUGUAAUGUCUGGUUACCAGAAGCUUUGACGUGUGCCAACCUUAUCCACCAAUCAUACCUGCCACUGCGCCUCGUCUGGAAGGUGACAGACCCACCGAACUUGAUACGAUAAACUAG